CUUGUGCCAGCAGCCGCGGUAAUACAGAGGGUGCAAGCGUUAAUCGGAAUUACUGGGCGUAAAGCGCGCGUAGGUGGUUCGUUAAGUUGGAUGUGAAAUCCCCGGGCUCAACCUGGGAACUGCAUUCAAAACUGACGAGCUAGAGUAUGGUAGAGGGUGGUGGAAUUUCCUGUGUAGCGGUGAAAUGCGUAGAUAUAGGAAGGAACACCAGUGGCGAAGGCGACCACCUGGACUGAUACUGACACUGAGGUGCGAAAGCGUGGGGAGCAAACAGGAUUAGAU
rnacentral:rRNA from 1 species